rnacentral:lncRNA from 1 species
UGUUUUGGAUAGCUAAAAUGUGUGUAUAACCUACAGUAAAGUAUUUAACAUGAAGAAUUUUCAAAGCCCAGUGGUCAGCAUAUUUAAAAAUUAAUAACCAUGAUAUAUCUUGCAAGAAAUUACCUUCCCAAUUAAAAUGGAUUUUUCAUUCUUGAAGCUAUCACCAAAUCUUUGACAUUCGCCAGAUGCCUAUUUGCAAUGUUUUCACCUGAUACAUGAAUUGAAAAUUUUCAUUUGUUGCUCUGUUUUAUAAUAUAACCUACUUAAUUAUAACAAAAAGAAUGCUCAAAGACAUUCCACUAAAGACUAAUCCAUCUGAAAGUGUAUCUCAAUUCAAGCCCUCCCUUUCUUAAGCCAAAUUGAAACUUAAUGUACGUACUACAGAGGCAUUGUCUAGGUAUUGAAUUCAAUCUCAUCUCCAGCAAAACAUUAUAACUAUAUAUAGCAUUUCUACUAAUUGAUGCCAUUCUUUUAUUCUCUUGUCUUACUUACUAGAUAUGCUUAUAUUUUGGUAACUAAUAGUGUUAUAGGAAUGUAACAUUGAAUGGUUGAUUAUGUUACUUAUACUGACUCAAUGCUUUCUUACUUGUUUUUAAAAGUAAUUACAAUAACCUGUCUAAUUAUGAGCAAAAAAGAUAAAGUUGGUCCAAACAGAAAAGUUUGUAAAAUAAGGAAAGCAAAAUGAAGAACAUUCACAACCUCAAAGGAAAAAAGUGUAAGCAGGAGAUGUUUUCAGGGCAAGUAAAAGAAAGAGUAUUUGAAGUGUCUGGGGAUCAAAACUCACUGAAUCCAAUAUAAAUGAAAAAGAAUGCUGUCUUUAAGAAACAAUGUUAAAGUGCUUAUCUAUCAAUAUAAAUGGAGUGGAGAAGGAUUUUAAGAGAGCUUGGGUUAGAAAUAUGGUGCUUAAAAAUCAGGUUACUUUUGCUGGGGAAAAAGAACCCGCAAUUAUGCAGUAGCUGAGGCAAUUGAAAGAUCUGGUGAGCUUGUGUCAAUGUGGGACCCCAAUCUUUUUGAUGUUAUCAAAUUAAAGGAAGAAAUUAUAUUGUUGCAAGUAACUGAGAUAUGGAAAACCUGCAACACAAUACGUCACCUCAUCAUUUAGUUGAUUCUUUUUUACUUAAGUUGACAUCAUCCCAUAGUUUUAGCAUAAUAUAUAAUAUUCUCAAUUUCAUUACUUAACAUUGCCUAAUUCACUCAAAUCACCAUUACCCAUUUUAAUCGAGAAAUUGACAAAAUUAGGUCAGGAAACACAAUCUCAACUUAACUUUCUUCUAAGUUAGUUCUAUGUCUUGAUUUAGCUUACAUCCCAACAACUAAUCAUCUUACAACCAUUAAUUUAACACAACUUAAGCAAACUUUACAUAUAUAAUCAACGUACCUCGACUAAUAAAUCGGCUCCCAGUUCAACCCAGAAUGAUUUCUCCUCAAUAUUACAAGUCAUAUACUUAAAUCGACUGUACUAUGAUUUUCAAUUCACUGAUUUACUUCAUGAAUUCUCCUUCUUCCAUCUUUCGCUUUACUUGAACUUGCUCGUU